rnacentral:rRNA from 1 species
GGCCAGACUCCUACGGGAGGCAGCAGUGGGGAAUAUUGCACAAUGGGGGAAACCCUGAUGCAGCGACGCCGCGUGAGUGAAGAAGUAUUUCGGUAUGUAAAGCUCUAUCAGCAGGGAAGAAGUUGACGGUACCUGAGUAAGAAGCCCCGGCUAACUACGUGCCAGCAGCCGCGGUAAUACGUAGGGGGCAAGCGUUAUCCGGAUUUACUGGGUGUAAAGGGAGCGUAGACGGCAGUGCAAGUCUGAAGUGAAAGCCCCGGGCUUAACCCGGGAAUUGCUUUGGAAACUGUACGGCUGGAGUGCUGGAGAGGUAAGCGGAAUUCCUAGUGUAGCGGUGAAAUGCGUAGAUAUUAGGAGGAACACCAGUGGCGAAGGCGGCUUACUGGACAGUAACUGACGUUGAGGCUCGAAAGCGUGGGGAGCAAACAGGAUUAGAUACCCUAGUACC